CAGGCCGCCGCCCGCCCGCGGCCGACCGCAGACGCGGGCCGAGCAGCGGCGGGGGCUGUUUGGGGCCGGCCCGCCAGCGGAAGGCGCCCCCCGCCCCACCUCCGCUCUGACGGAUGAAAACUGAGGCUCAGCUUUGCCUUCAGAGCUGGAACUCUGCCCAUGCCACAACGGUGGCAGUGAUGCUGGGGCCACUCGCCUGCACCAGACCCACUUGAUCAGAUCAUGUCACGCUCCUGUUCACACCUCUGCACUGGCUUCCCAUGGUGCUCAGUGCAAAAGUUAAAGUCUUCGCAUGGCCACCAGGCCUGAAUGCCCUGCACCCCCAUCUCUCUCUCUGAUAUCAUCUCCCUUUACUCUCUUAUUCAGCCACACCGACCUCCUUGCUCUUCUCCAAAUAUGUCAGGCACGCUACCAUCUCAGGCCAUUUGUACUUCCUGUUCCCUGUGCCUGGAAUGCUCUUCUUGCAGAUAUUCACAUGAUUAGUCCCUCACCUCCUUCAGGACUUAGCUCAAAUGUUACCUUCUCUGUGAGGCCUUCCCUGACCAUUCUAUUUAAAAUGGAACCAUUGCCCUCAUUCUCCCAAUUCCUUUGCCCUGCAUUAUUUUUUCCAUAGCACUUGUUAUCUGACAUGCUGUAUAUUUUGCU